rnacentral:tRNA from 4 species
CGGGAUGUAGCUCAGUCUGGUCAAGAGCGUGUGCCUCGGGCGCACAAGGUCGCUGGUUCGAAUCCAGUCAUCCCGA